GACGAACGCUGGCGGCGUGCCUAAUACAUGCAAGUUGAGCGAUGAAGAUUGGUGCUUGCACCAAUUUGAAGAGCAGCGAACGGGUGAGUAACGCGUGGGGAAUCUGCCUUUGAGCGGGGGACAACAUUUGGAAACGAAUGCUAAUACCGCAUAACAACUUUAAACAUAAGUUUUAAGUUUGAAAGAUGCAAUUGCAUCACUCAAAGAUGAUCCCGCGUUGUAUUAGCUAGUUGGUGAGGUAAAGGCUCACCAAGGCGAUGAUACAUAGCCGACCUGAGAGGGGGAUCGGCCACAUUGGGACUGAGACACGGCCCAAACUCCUACGGGAGGCAGCAGUAGGGAAUCUUCGGCAAUGGACGAAAGUCUGACCGAGCAACGCCGCGUGAGUGAAGAAGGGUUUCGGAUCGUAAAACUCUGUUGGUAGAGAAGAACGUUGGUGAGAGUGGAAAGCUCAUCAAGUGACGGUAACUACCCAGAAAGGGACGGCUAACUACGUG
rnacentral:rRNA from 1 species